rnacentral:rRNA from 1 species
CGACGAUGCGUAGGGGUUCUGAGAGGAAGGCCCCCCACACUGGUACUGAGACACGGACCAGACUCCUACGGAAGGCAGCAG